CACGUAGGGGACGAGCGUUGUCCGGAUUCAUUGGGCGUAAAGCGCGCGUAGGCGGCUCGGAAAGUCGGUCGUGAAAUGCCGGGGCUCAACCCCGGGACUGCGUCCGAUACUCUCGAGCUGGAGGCAGGUAGGGGAGAUCGGAAUUCCUGGUGUAGCGGUGAAAUGCGCAGAUAUCAGGAGGAACACCGGUGGCGAAAGCGCUCUACUGGACCGCAACUGACACUCAGGGACGAAAGCUAGGGGAGCGAAUGGG
rnacentral:rRNA from 1 species